CUUGUUCUUGUGUGUAGGCUCACGUGCACGGCCGGCCACGUGCACUCGUCUGACUAAACAAAGAUAUGAGUGAGAGAGGAGCUACUGUAGAACUACUGGUUAAAAGGUGCAGGAGGAGAAGAAUCGUAACUGUCCCAUGAGCCAUUUGAGACCAGAGGUUCCAAAGAAGUGCCAAACUGUGUUAUAUCACUCAAAACUAAACAGGAAGUGCACAGAACCACAAAAUCAUGACGUAACUCUGCCCAUCUCAUUGGUUUCUAUUUUAGGAGGGGAAGGAUAUGAGCAGUGACGAGGUAAAUCCAAGUCAAAUCCCAACUCCAGUGUUUUGAGUUUCAAGUCCUAUCAAGUCUUUAACAACUCAACUGACUCUAACCAAGAAGUAACCACUAACUGUCCACGAAGAAACUCCACAAAAGGUGAAGAACGCUGAUGGUAAUUUAUACUGGUGACUUUAUCCCACUGUAGUCACCAAACCCUUACCUAUUUAAAGGUACAGUAUGGAACUUUCUGGAGGUACCACAUCACCUGCAUGAUUAUAUGAUACGGAAACAGAAAGUUAAAACCAUAAUUUGAAACAUUCUCCAUGGAGAUAGAUACGUUUUAUGCCAUAUUGUAGAAUAUUAUAGCCAAAGAAACCAUAUUUUUAUGGAACAAAGGUUGAAUAAGAGUCAGGUUUGUGGAGAUGCAAGCCCACUCACAGUCAGUGUUGAAGAAUACAUUGUAGUAGCUUGAGAGUUGAAGAGAAGAGACAUGAGGCUGAAGUUCUAACGCAGGUUUAUUGAUACUUUGCAGCUGAUGUCAUCAACAUUUCCUGGAGGUAUGAGGCUAACUGUAGGCACCACUCUGUCUGCAGCUCUGUUACUCAAAUUAUACUUUAAUCUAAUAGGUUUUUUAUACAAUUUAAUCAGUGUGGUGGAUACCUCUGCCACCACUCCAUAGUGUCAGUAUAAUUUCAUUUAAUUUCAUUUACAUUAAGUUAAUCACAUUACACAUACUUUAAUUCCUUUAUUUAGACUUAUAUUCUAGUUUGAGUGCACACAUUUUAGUUAAUAUACUGUAAGUCUGAUUUACUUACACUUGUUCUUUUUGUUUUUUUGAGCACCAGACAGAGGACCCUCAGGAGAAACCAUCAUGACUCAACAAGGAGGGAGGGAACACUAUUUAGUUAGUGUUACUAAGUUAGUUUGUUUAGUUUGUGUUAAGGUCACUUUAUUAUUACUUAUUAUUUUCUGUAUUAUAAUUAUUUGCCUUUUUGUUACUUUGAUAACUUAGUAGAUUAGUUAAUUUUUUAAUAUAAUUCCUCCCUCCUUCCUUCCUCUUGUGUUUAGCUUUAGUUGGUCCUCAAGUAUUUACACAUCCUCGUUCCUUUGUUUGAUUGGGUUAGUUUUGUUCUGUUCAGUUUGAUCUGAGUUACCCCAGUUGGGCCCGACUUUUUUGUUCAUGAUUUUCUUAAUUUUAUCUCCUUUUUUUACUUUAUUGAAUUUAAAUUUAUUUUUAUACCUUGUCUUUGCCUUUCUGUUUGGUCCACUUACAAUCAGAAAGAGUUGACUUAGAUGAAACUACAGCAGGUUUGGUGAUUUGUGCUGUUAAAUAAGUCUCUCACACGUAACUUUACAGUCACAAGCUCACUAUCAUUAGUUUUUCAGUCAUUCUUAACUUUUUGUUGAAAAUCAAACUGCUAAACAGAACCAUGAACACUCAGACUGAUCACAAGCUCCUGAAAAUUUUUCUUUUUUUUUUUUUUUUGUAAUUCAAGUUUUUAUUUUAUUUUACAGUUUUUACCAUGUAAUAUAACAGACAGCAGCACAUUACUUUGGGCCAAAGGAAUAAAACAACAAAUUUAACUGUAUAUAUGCAUAUGCAAGUGCACUCCAUAACAAAAGUAAAAGUGCAUGUGACAAGCCUCCGUAACUCUCUAAUUUCCAUUCAAUUUAACCUGAUACAAAUACAAGUAAUUUCAGUUCUAAAUAAAAAGGCCGAUACCACAUCCAUACAGUGGAAAAACAAAGACUUUUGUCAAUGUACCAGUUUUAAAUGUGUUUUAGACAAUUGAGCAAUCAAACCUGUCAAAGGCAUUUCAAUCAAAAACAGUGCCCAAGAUUUUACAAAAAUGUCCAUGUUAUCAUUCAACCAAGCCAAUAAUGUCUCAUAGGAGAGUAUUUUCAUCAAAUUGUCCAUCUGUUAAAGUCUGGAGGAGAAGGAUUCUUCCAUACACCAAGAAUUACCCGUGCUGCAGUUAUUACCCCCACCUUUAAAACCACAUACUAUCGAAAAACUUUUUUGUCUGUUUGUUAAUGUAUACACUGUGUCACCAUGGUAACUGAUGAACAUUUCGCCAAUAGAGAUACAUGUGGAACACCCCCAACGUGACGUCACUGCAAAGUAUAAAUUGAGCACCAGUACUAGACCCAGCACCUGGAGACAUGGACCCUCCAAACAUUGUGAUAGUGUUGUCCACUCCAGUCUAGCUAUGUUUCUGUUGUAGGGAGUAUUAUACCUCUGAUGAUGCAGGACUGAGCUGGCAGUGAGUACCCUUGAUACAGCACCAAAAUGGAACAGUAAAAUCAAAUGCUUUUCA